AUCUCUAUGUAUCCUACAUAUCGCUACAUACGUACACGCUCUUCAGAUUCAGAAUACAACGUUGAUCGUAUGGUGGUAGUGCAAAGUGUGUUUGGUUUGGCUACCUCAUAAUGUGUAAAUUUAGUAAAAAUAAUAUAUUGUUAUUUAUACAUAUUGGCAGUAUGUGCAACUAGAUAGUAAUAUAAUUGACGAUAUUACGCCCAUUACAGUUUACAUGCUUUAGAAGCGUUUGUUGUUGACCAUAACCUCCAGUUCCCGAUGUCAUGUCGUAAGAGACGGCUUGAUGGCCAAGAUCCAGAUUAUGAAGAUACCAUUCCUCAUGAGACAAAACGUCUACGAUUGCUGGAAGAAAAUGCAAAGACAGAGUUUUCACAGCGCAUCUCAGCCAUCGUCCAGAAGGAGUUCAGUACAGAACUUGCCAAUCGUGAGAAAGAUGUACAUGAGAUUCAGGAGCGAUUGCAUCAGGCACAGAAAACAUUGCAUAUUCUGCGCCAUGCCAUUGUAUCUGCAUUCUAUAAUAAGAGACGGGUCCAGAAUGGCCCAGAGGAGAGAGAGAAGCGUAUUCAUCCUGCAGUGAAGAAGUUAGUUGGCAAGGAGCCUCAAAACUGGGAACCGCUGCACAAGCGCCGAUCCAAGUACCGGACCAUUCCCACCACCUCAGAAAAGGAGCCGUCGGUCAGCAAGGAAACAAGUUCAACCAGUGAGAAUGAGAAGACGGAAACAGUGAGCAAGGUACCGCGUUAUGUUCCCCCAAAGACCUCUGCAGGCGGCGGCACUCCAAGCAGCCCACGCCGCGGAAUGUGCCACAAGAUGAAGAAAAGAAUUGUUAUAGGGAACAUCUCCAAGUGGCUCCCAGUCGACACACGAGAGGAUGCAGCAAGCCACAAGUGGAUGAUGUAUGUGCGUGGUCCGAAAGAGGCCCCAGAUAUGUCUGAUUUUGUAUCCAAAAUUCGGUUCUUCCUGCACCCCAGCUACCGGCCACACGACAUUGCAGAAGUGACGUCUCCACCAUUUCAUCUCUCACGGCGAGGUUGGGGUGAGUUUCCAGUACGUGUCCAGAUCCACUUCAGCCACCCUCGCAACAAGCCGGUUGAUGUGAUACAUCAUUUGAAGCUGGAUCGCACGUAUACAGGACUGCAGACUCUCGGUGCUGAGACAGUUGUUGAUAUCUGGUUGCAUUGUGGAAGUGACUCAGGAAUUAGCAACAGUGAGCAUGAAGUUGGCAGCACUGAGGAGAGUGCGCCUGAUGGCAGUAGUGAUAAUGUGGAACGCCUUUCUCGAACGGCGAAAAUAGAGGAUAGUGUUAAUGGCCCUACUUCUGGGAUGGUUUGUGAGUCACCAACCAAGGUUAAGUUCCAUGGUCCGAUUGAGCCGAAACUGGAGCCAGUAGAUAGCUCUGACUACAUGUCGUCCUGUGAUGACACCUCUCAGACUGAUGCAGCUGCACAAGGUGCCCAUAGCUCCUGUGACAUCACAUCAUCAUCCUUAGACCAUGAUUACUUUGGGCUCAAGAAUGUGAACAUUAAAAAGGAGCAUGAAGAUGGCUGUGAAUUUGUGCAACCCUUACCAGGCUGUGAACCUGUGCAGUCCCUGCAAGGCUGUGAGUCAGUGGAGUUCGUGGCAGCCCGUGACUCUAUGCAGCUUGUGCCAGGCUGUGAGUCAGUGCAGUCCCUGCAAGGCUGUGAGUCAGUGCAGUUCCUGAAAGGCUGUGAGUCAGUGGAGUCUGUUGCAGCCUGUGAGUCAGUGGAGUCCCUGGUAGCCAGUGAGUCGGUAAAGUCCCUGGCAGCCCGUGAGUCUGUGCAGUUCCUGCCAGGCUGCAAGCCAGUGCAGUCCCUUCCAGCCUCUGAGUCAGUGGAGUCCCUGCCAGGCUGUGAGUCAGUGCCGUCCCUACCGGUCUCUGAGUCAGUGGAGUCCCUGCCGGCCUGGGACUCUGUGCAUCCUCUGCCAGGCUGUGAGUCAGUGCAGUCCCUGCUGGGCUCUUCACAAGAAAACAUGUCAGAGGAGUGCAUAGAUGUAUGUAAAGUGAAAUCUAGUGUUGUGACAGACAGCAUUGUUCGAAACCACAUGUUGGAGGAGGCACCUGUCAUGCAAAAGCACAAGACAACAAAUUCCAUUUUGCUUAUUCCAGAGUUACUGACACAAUCAAAAACUGUUAAUAACCAUGUUGUAGAACAGAAUGUUCCACUUGCCAAGAACAACUCAAAACCAGCCAUGCUCGUGAAGUGCAUGAACAAGAGUGGUCAUGUAUUCUUUGUAACAGUUGGCAAGGCUAAUGUUAAGCCGCAAUUGAAGGUUGCAUCAGUUGUGCCAAAAUUAGAACAAUCUGUAAAUGUACCCAAUUUGACUUCCUUGCUAAUCAAACAGGCACCAACCUCAUUACUCCAGAACAAACUAUCGUACACUUCAGCUGUGGUAUCCAAAUCAAAUGAAAAUACUCCCAUUCCAAAAUCUCAGCUCAGUAGUUACAAUUGUAAAGUGAAGGGUGGUGUAACCUCUCAGGAUAAUUUUGGUUUCAUAUCAUCACAGACUAAUUCCUUAGUGCUGGUACCCCCUCAGGGUACUCCUGGUAAUGGGGUAACAGCCCGGGCUAGUUUAUUGUCCCUAGGAGCUAAUUCCUCGAGUUUUGUAACGUCACAAGGUUCAUCUGUAGUGACUCCCUUGCCAAGCAUGAAUUUGAAACCUGGUGCGAAAGUAACCUCACCAGUGAUACUAGUGAAUGAUUCUCCAGAAGUACUGAAGCAGAUACAGAGCAAUUCAGGGCAGAUGCUUUCAUUCCUGAAACCAAAUAAAAGUUUGCUCACUUCAGACAAGUCGGAGGAAGGGAGCAGAGCUGGAGCUUUGAAGGACAUGAACAUAAGUUCUACCCAGAAUAAGCCCAUCUCAGUCCAAGAUCAGUCGGUGUUGAUUGCAAAAAAUGGGCAGUUGUAUCUGCUGAAACACCCACAGAGUGCACUUGCACUUUCAGCGCUCGCUGCCAAAUCCAGUACAAAGAAAUGUGAUUCAGCUACAAAGCAGCAGGACACACUUCUUUCAGACACAGUUUGCGGGAGCCAGUCAUUACUGUCAAAUCAGGUGCGUUCAGCUAAAGGAGGCGUGAGUUUGUUGAAGAAGCAGACAAACUCAGCUGUUCUGCCUACCGUGGGGAAGCAGGUGAACGUGGACAAAGCCGAGGAGACUCGGCUGUUGAUGUCGGGCCGAACUCUGGUGCUGAAUAAAGCGAACAGUCGACAAAUCACCCACUCAAGCAGGACGUGCUACCUGGAAGAUCUGAAAGCUGCUAUCGAAUCAUGUAAGUUUGAUGACAUUUCAUUUGCUCUUCGCUGGCUGUUGAGGCACAUACCUCUGGUUUCACCUCUUGCAAGGGAUCCAGAUUUCAGGGUGCUUCACCCAUAUGCUGCCCACAGUGACAUGACCUUCCUGCAGUGGAACAUCGGCAAGCAGAGAGCAGCAGAGUGGAUUCGAGCAAAGACAGUACAAAAGGCAUUACAGAAACGAUUUCCAGAAGACCGUGUGUGGGGUACACGUGCCAUUUUGGUGUGGGCAAGGCUGCAUGGGUAUACACCAGUUCAGCAACCUGCAGAUAUAGGCUCAGAAAAUAUAUCAAGUAGGCCAGUAACACAAGGAACCUACUCGGAGCCCGUUGGAAUCAUGGACUGGCUGGUGACAAAUCACAAGUCGGAUCAGUGUUCAGGUUCAGAGUCAGAUCCUGAAGUUGAUGUUGUGGGCAUAGAGCCACCACAGACAAAAGCACUCGUAAAGCAAGGGCCACCAGAAUUUGAAGACGUUAGCAAGAUUGUUGAAGCACUGGAAUUGGAUCCUGAGCUGGAUGCACAGUGUUUGUUUGUGCGUGAGGCAGCAAGGGAGGCGGGCUUCAAGUUCUUGCCACAGGAAAUAAUGCCUGGUGUGGUAUUCUGCGCUGCAGAAAGAAUACUUUUAGAGGCAAUACGAUCACUGGCAGAUGACUUGCUACGACGCGCAUUGUGCAUGGCGUGGAGGAGAAACUCAAACAGGUGUCCUGACAGCAUCACAGUAAAUGAUGUUCGGAUGGCGAUACUCACCCGUCCAGAGUUUGACUUGUUUUCGAACAGAGGGCUUGGUGUUCAAGUGACGGAUACUGGUUGAUACGUGUCUGUAGUUAAUUACCUGUUGAAGGGGCAUACAGUUACAGCAAGGUCACGUAACUGAUUAGUCAGCAAACAUUCCAGAGGCUUAUCACGCAGAUGCAGGCAGCUACGUGCAAGCUGGGUGGCGCCAGAGUGAUGUAUCAUGUGUUGCAACUUAUCGUGUUCUAAAAACGUAUUAAUACGCGACUGGUCCGCCACAUUUAAAGUGAAAACGUAUUAAUGCGUGCGCAGUCCGCAAAGUGUUAAAACCAUCACAGCACAACUAUAUCAAGGUAUAAUGCCAGUCAGCAAUGGAAACUUGUGUGUCAUGCAUGCAAAAUGUUCUGGCUACUUCAGAGUGUGACAGGAAGUUGCUGGUUGUUGACGGCUGUCCUGGGCUUCAGUUCUUUUGGCUGAACAUUGUGUCAGGUCCUAGCAUGAAGAUACAUCUCAUUGGCUCACCUGAUGUAAGGUGUGUUAUCAGGAAUGUGGAACUUUGCAGCUGGAUCAAAGUCAUCGUCCGCACGGGGUAUGGGA